AUUGAACGCUGGCGGCAUGCCUUACACAUGCAAGUCGAACGGCAGCACGGGCUUCGGUCUGGUGGCGAGUGGCGAACGGGUGAGUAAUAUAUCGGAACGUACCUUUCAGUGGGGGAUAACGUAGCGAAAGUUACGCUAAUACCGCAUAUUCUGUGAGCAGGAAAGCAGGGGAUCGCAAGACCUUGCGCUGAUUGAGCGGCCGAUAUCAGAUUAGCUAGUUGGUGAGGUAAAGGCUCACCAAGGCGACGAUCUGUAGCGGGGCUGAGAGGAUGAUCCGCCACACUGGAACUGAGACACGGUCCAGACUCCUACGGGAGGCAGCAGUGGGGAAUUUUGGACAAUGGGGGCAACCCUGAUCCAGCCACGCCGCGUGAGUGAAGAAGGCCUUCGGGUUGUAAAGCUCUUUCGGCCGGGAAGAAAUCGUGUGGGCUAAUACCCCAUAUGGAUGACGGUACCGGAAUAAGAAGCACCGGCUAACUACGUGCCAGCCGCCGCAGUAACAC
rnacentral:rRNA from 1 species